UGUCCCUGGCAUCUGCUUUACCAGGUUUUCUUAAUUUCAACAACCUCUGCCCAGGGAAAGGUAAACACUGCCUCCAGAAGAAAGCAGCAGCUCCCCUCCCCCAUCUCAGUGCAUUCUCUCCCACCGAGGCACCGACCACUGGAGAACCCAGGGGUCACUAAUUCCCAACCUGUGAGGAAACCUGGGGCACUCCGUGAAGACAGAAAAUCCUUGAGUCACAGUUCAGGGAAUCCAAGUUCUUUAUUUUCCUAAUGUCAAAAUUAAGGCCCAGAAGUGACCUGGGUCACAGCGGGUGUGAUCUCUGGGAUCUUUUAUACCAGGGGUCCCCAACCCCUGGGCCCUGGACCACACCAUACCAGUCCAUGGACUGUGAGAAACCAGGCCGCACAGCAGGAGGUGAGCGGCUGGUGAACCAGCAUUACCGCAAGAGCUCUGUCCCCUGUCAGAUCAGCUGGGCAUUAGAUUCUCAUAAGAGAGCGAACCCUAUUGGUGAACUAUGCCUGCCAGGGAUCUAGGUUGCUCCUUAUGAGAAUCUAACAAAUGCCUGAUGAUCUGAGGUGCAACAGUUUCAUCCCGAAACCAUCACCCCCACCCCAUCCGUGGAAAAAUUUUCUUCCAUGAAGCCGGUCCCUGGUGCCAAAAAGGUUGGGGACACUGCAGUUUAUACAAUACUUUGGCUAAGCUAGGACAAAAUGGUGAUUCUCUUUCUCAGGAAGAAAAUAAUAAUACUAAUCAUGGUGAUAACUAACAUUUAUUGACACAUGUGCCAGACAAAGCCCUCACUCACAUCCAGUUCUCUGAAUUACAGAUUCUAUGCCUGAGUUUAAGUGAAUUUAAUUUAAAAGCAUACAGAUAUACUGAGGUUAUUCCAGCAAAAAACAAAUGAGGUAUGUAGUUGCAGACAACUUGAACUAAAGAAACAAAGAAAUAAGUAAACUUUAAUCAUUAACAUCAUUAUCCCAAUUUUAUCCAGAACUCUUGCAGGCAGUCACUUCUUCUAAGAAUAAUAUAGUUGAGCACAUGAAUUAGUGGCUGAAGUUUACACUGUCUCCACUCCCAACAACACUCUCUCUCUAUCUCUCCUCCUCACCUCCUCUCUCUCUCUCACACACACACACACACACACACACACACACGGCGGGGGUGGGACAGAGAGAGAGAGAGAGAGAGAAAGAGAGCACACUUUUGAUUUUUUUUUUUUCUUGGGGAAAGGGAUAGGUGGAAUCUGUAUAUGUCUUUGGAAUCACUGGAAAUGCUAUUCCCCAAUGGUGCAUCCUGCUCCACAUCCUAGCAUAAUUGCCAUAAUUUCUUAACCUCAAGAAAGAGUAUUCCUUGGCUGGAAAUAUAUCUCUAUUUUGUCUCCCCUUUCCAAGCAUUCUCCUAUUUAGUGGAAAUCCAAGGAGGGUCAAUUUGCAGGCUUUAUGCUCGUCCUCUGACCCCAAUGGGUAGACAUUGUAAUCCUUGAGAUUACCAGGGGCAAAAAGAAAAGGAACAGGUCUCUGAGAAUGAGAAACUAAAUAAUUUUUUCUUGUAGAUUGGCACUAAAUGUUAAAUUUACUCCCAGUAGUACCUUGAGAAUCUGUACCAAGAGUUUUUAGAAUUAGCUC
rnacentral:lncRNA from 1 species